CCUGUGGCUCAUUUGCUUUGCAAGGGUCAUGUGAGAUCACAGGGAAGAAGGAGCCUUCAAGGACUAGAGCCCAGUGCCAGUGCCAAGAGCAAGAGAGCCUGGAUGAAAGAUUUGAAGGACCUGCUGAAGCAGAAGGAGCUGGUCACCCAGCAAGGGGACUUGGCAGAAAAGCUGCAGCAUCACUUCAAUGUCUUUGAGAUGAGGUCAGAAAAUCUCCAGUCUGAGUUUGAACAGGCCACAGCCCAGGAUGAGAGCCUCCUGCAGACAGAGCUGCUGCAGCAGGAGCACUAAGUCUCACAGGCAACAGAUAUUGGGAAAACUGAGGAGGCCAAAAAACCACAGAUGCCUUGAACCCAUGACAUUCUAUACUCUGAGAUCAAGGCCUCCUCCUCAGAAGACACUCCUUUAGAGCUGUGAACUCACCAGUGAAGAAAAUACCAGCUGUCUUUCAGGUGAUCCAGCCCCAAUCAGAUCUAUGGGUCUGCUGACUUAGUCUUCCUAAAGAAAAGAAAGCAUCAAAAAUGAGCUUGAGAUACAGAAAACAUGAGCCAAGAAUUACUGAGAACCCUGACAUUCAAUAGCAAGUGGCCACUGUGAGGGGUACUACAACAUGGAGGGUAGAGAUGUUGGUGAGCAAGACUAUUUCUGUCAGUUUAAUGUUGAUGGCUUUGGCAAGCUUACUGACUUCACUAGCCCUCCCUAUGCAGUGUGAAAUGUGUCAUGGAUGAUUGUGUUGAUGUCAAGCUGUUCCUGACAGACCACACCCAAAAGCAUCAUGUUUCAUUCUCCAGUUGAGUGUUGAAGUUGUCUGCCUUCCUACCAUGUUUCCAAGCCCAGCCACAGGCUGUAGGUCUGUGCUUCUAAAAUUGCAGCAAGAGAAGGCUGCUGACCUUAAUUGUUUUGUUUGGUUUUUGGUUGGGUUUUCUUUGCUUUGGUCUUUUGGGUUUUCUUUGUUAUAGAUUGAGCUUUUGCUAUUUAUUUGUUCUUUCGUUUGUUCUUGUUGUUUUGAUAUUUUGCUAAGGCUGUUCACUUUUUAUGUUGACUGAUCUAUUUAAGACCCUAUUUAGUAAAAUAACUGUAUUUUUAUUAAUAAUAAAGUGAUUUUGAACUCUU